rnacentral:rRNA from 1 species
CGUAGGGAGCGAGCGUUGUCCGGAUUUAUUGGGCGUAAAGAGCUCGUAGGCGGUUUGGUAAGUCGGGUGUGAAAGCUCCGGGCUCAACUCGGAGAGGUCACUCGAUACUGCCAUGACUGGAGUCCGGUAGGGGGGUGUGGAAUUCCCAGUGUAGCGGUGAAAUGCGCAGAUAUUGGGAGGAACACCAAUGGCGAAGGCAGCACCCUGGGCCGGUACUGACGCUGAGGAGCGAAAGCGUGGGGAGCAAACAGGAUUAGAUACCCUGGUAGUCCACGCCGUAAACGUUGGGCACUAGGUGUGGGUCUCUAUCAACGGGAUCCGUGCCGUAGCUAACGCAUUAAGUGCCCCGCCUGGGGAGUACGGCCGCAAGGCUA